CCCGUAGUCCCCCCUCAUGGUUAUAUGAUUUUAGGUGUGCUAAGUCAACUUAUCAGUGACGUAGGAUUUGUCAAACGGUAUGGUUUAACUGCUAAGAGGAAUGGUUCGUUCGUAGUUUAGCCAUCCUGUACCUGUACGUAUGUCUAGGUGAUACGUACGUACCACGUGGUCUGGUCUCGUCGGCCCACUUUUGGCGUGGCGUAAAGAAAAGUAAAGACCUAGGAGACGGUGCCGCACGAGACGUAAUGUGCGGUUUCGACGCGGGUAGUCCCGGUUUCCCAGAGGGGCGGAGGAGGCAUAUAGUGGCAGCGGUGGAGAGGGAGGGAGGGAGCAAGGGAAGAGAGGGAGGGAGAGAGAGAGAGUGAGUGUAAAACGGUGUCUGGGAGUCACGCGGUACCUGCUUCCUCCUCCCCCGGACGUGAGCGGAGGAGAGCGCUCCCACGUCCUCUACAAGGAGGAGGCGCGGCGCCGAAACGAGCCGCUAAGCGGUUCAAGGUAACAUAGCGUUAUGGACGCUCUUACCGGUCUUCAUAUAAGUGGAACAAAGACCUGCUCGUGAAAACAUAACUAUGUUGACCAUAAAUAGAGCUCAUAGCGCCGAGUCAUAGACAAGUUCUCUUAGUCUACCACGUCCGUCUCUAACUUCUGACGUUGAGGACUUUCGUUAUUCGUAAGAUUAGUCCUUGUUGUCUUACGUCUGUAUUUCGACCCGCAGAGUAUAGUUCGUUCGUUUCAGACGACGGACGAAUAUAAUCGGUGAGUACAGGACUCCUAUAAGAAAGACGUCAAUGUUCCUUCUUAUUCACCAACGUUCAUGGGUGGAAAACAAGACCCACUUCCGUAUGUCCACGAGAGGACCUAUUAUAACAGUGAUCGUCAUAAGUCAGAUGUCUUCUGUUUAAGACGUUUCGUAGGCGAGUAAUAAGCCCGUACCAACUAUGAAUCGAAAGACGUUAGUCAUUAGUCACACUAUAAACUAGAGUCCAAGUCAAAUAGUCUAGUACCUAUACACCCCAAACGGCUUAACUACCUGGACAAGUGUGAACAAUAGACGAGAAUAAACAAACGUUAAAGACGGUCUCCUUUUUGUCCUUAGUAAAGUUAUUUGUCGCCGUAUUGUCUCGGUGAUAACUCAGGUAGACGUCCUGUCGUCUGUCUUUGGUUUUCCUGUACAGACAUACCGUCCCGUUCGCAAGACCUGGAGCAGUGGAAGAGCACCUACCCAGGAGAUAAACGAUGACCUAUAUUCUUUGGAGAUCUAUUCUUACUACACGGUCUAUAACUACUUUCCCUGAUACGGCUAAACGAGAGACUAAGUAAAUUUUCCUAGGACCGUCUACAACUUGCGUCCGUACCAAACUCAUGAAAUAGUUAGAUAUCUCGUUACAAGGAUAAAUAAUCUUCUUUUCGUUAUUAGUUGCGUCAUAAACGCUAGGAUACACGUACACGCAGGAUACAACCUGGUAGUGACUAAUUACUGAACCACUCCAAGGAGCCCCCUCUCUCCUUCAUACCUGACUUUUUUCCAAUAUAAGAACGACGACGUAAAAAUUCACGGUUUCAACACCUCUGUCAUCGAGUCUCCGUCACCUAAAAACCCCGAGCUGCCGAGCCCUACGCCGAUGCUCGACGAAACUAUAGGGUGUAGAUAGUUUUCCCCGAGGCCAAUAGGACGUCACGUUCCGUUUUCGUAUGGUCACCUCUCUAGUAUUUGAUGUACUCACAUCUAUAUGUCUCCUAUUGGCUACAAUAUACCAUGUGUUUGAUGUAAACCUACAAUGGGUAUGUCGAAAGAGAUCGUCAGAUACAAGAGAUAGAUUUGGAUCCCCGACCUCGUACCCGACCAAAUCGUCGUUGUGACCAUUAUUACCGAACGUUAUAAGGAGACUGGUCUGACGUCUUUUCCAACGUUAGUCUCUAGUACCGACGAUUUCUGUUGUCUUACUUCCGUUGUUGCCUUCAUGAAUCUUCGUACUUUUAUGACUUUGAAGUUCGUACCCUAUGUCUCAUGGAAGUUUUCGAUCUUCGAAACGCUUCCCUCCUCGUGUUAACCAACACCUUUAGACACUCCAACUGUCGAAAGUGUUGUAAGUAUAAAACCCCCAGGGGACGUAAGUAUAGGAGGUAUUGUAAGCCAUGUACAUAUAACUACCCCUAAGGAGAUUGUCGACCAUGACAAAACAGACGAGAACGUUGCAAGGCCUACGAUGUUCUAGGUUAGAAGUGUGAAGGGCUAAAUGAAAGCCACAAACGAGUUCCUUUUCAAAGUCGACUAGCUCAUCGUGUUAUGGAGGUCCUUCUUCUUAACUUUCUGCUACGUUAAUGUCUUCAUGGUUCCUCACGGUGUCUGAUACUACACCUCUAACUAGUACCUCGUAAGUCGACCCUUGAACUUUGGUGUAGAGGUUGAUAUUGUCUACAUUUAAAUUUUCAUUUCUCUCCCUACUUUCAUCGUUAGACACCUUACCAGCCGAGACCCUUUAGGUCAGAUAAUAGUACGUAUGAACCCCUCUACGGAUUCGAUCGGCCCCGGCACUCCCAGUCACCCUCGUCUCGUAUACAAGGAGUCUGACGGACCUAGGACAGACCCUUGUAGUCUCUGUUGUAAGACAAACCUUUGGGUAUACUGUUCCUUUUCAUGCUUUUCUAUUAUGUUCGAACACGUAACUGAUUUCUAGAACUCGAUAAACGUUUACCACUAAACUGUCUCUAACCUCUUUCUCCUUAAUUGUACUCACCACCUGUCUUCGUCGCCUAAGUCUAACGUUCCAGUCACAUGCUCCUACGUCUAUAUAUAGAGAAACUACUAGGGAAGUCACGUCAUCUACGAGUGUGGCCUCGGGUUGAAAAGUUCCUAACGGACUACCCCUACGAAUUUCUAUUUUGCUAUAACAUACACUGGGUAGUUCAACUUAAAGAAGGUCGACGUCUGGAAUAUGAUCACUACGUCCUACCCUUCUAACACGUCUUUCCUUCUAAACUACUAGAAGAAUUUGUCUUGUAUCCUAAACUUUGGUAUCAGCCUCGGGUAUCAGUCCGUUAACUGAGACAAUAUUUACGGCUCUCAAGGUCGUCUUAAAACAGUUGUCUCUCGGUUUUCAAUCGUCUAUCACUACUACUCAAACUCUCUCUUUUGCUGUGACUACUAGUUCAAGUCCCGUAUUAAUUCGUUCUCAGACUUGUGCUACAGAGCGUUCCAGAGUUACUUUUUCCUUCCGACUGUGUUCUCCUUCUUGCUCUUUUCCCUCCUUAACCGUUCUGCCAGAUGACCCGUAUGGACUGCCGAUAAGUACCACCGCGUAAUCGUGGUCAUUAUCACCGCCGUGUCAGUAAGAAGGUUUAUAAGGUUCAUCGUUCGUUGAUAACCUACCGUACCCGCACAGGAGGUUGUAGACGUUGGUGAGGUUCUCAACCUAAUCCGGAAGAAAACAGACAUAUGAAUCACGAUAGAUAUCCUUCACGUGAUACACAAAAACCAGCCAGAUACGAACACAGUGAACAACCGGACAAUUGUCGUCUCUUCAAGAAGUUCUUAUACGAGGUAACGUAAGAGGCUCGAGGGUACAGGAAGAAACUAAGGUGUGGGUGACCGUCCUAGGAUUUGUCCCAGAGGUCACUGGUUUCACAAAAUCUAGACCUUUAUCGUUCGUUCGAACCAACCACGCGCAAAAGUCAAUAUGUUUAAGACCCCUGGUAACCUCAAUACAGUGUUCAACGCACCGGUCAAAAACGGUAGAAAUAAGGUCACUGUCGUUAGACAAUACACAAAGUUUCCAUGAUGUAUGGUUGUCGCUCUCUCGACCGAGCAGAGAGUGUUUAAGUUUCCCGAGGUUAGGAGGUAGUAAAGCGCCUUAGUGAAUGUCCUCGCCGUUCAUAAUCUCGUAUACCUGUCUUUCUGGCAAAGUCUUUUCGUUUGUAGUCAGAACAAUUGUUGGUGAGUGCUGGUACCAAGGUAUUGUAGAGUCGAUAGCUCACCGAAACGAAGUCCGAUUUGUACGAUAGAUUGAAACAGAAACGGAAAAGAAACUGAGACAACCACUCAGAAGGGCUUCCAAAAUAUUUAGGUUCGUAGCGACCUGAACGUCACUGAAUACGUGACUUGGAGUUACCCGUCAACAGUAGAUAUUGGACCUUGUAAACGUUGUGUCUCUUAUUUUACUAAAGUCAACUUUCUUAUUACGUCAUGAGUUCCUAGGGAUCACUCCGAGGAGAUUAUCAACUGCUAGUGGCCGGGGGUUUGUCGACCGGUUUCCUACCCUGAUAAUUAUAUUCUUUAAACCUCCAAGCUAUACGUCUCGUAGAGGGUAGACAAAAUUCUUUAUAUAGUACAUGUUAAGGUCCUGCCUUCUUCCACCCCUAACAACCUGCAUGGCCUUCACCUUUCAGUUGAAACUAAGUUCGUGAAAAGGCCUAACAACUUGGUUCCCAUCCUUGUUAUCUUUAACUGCUACAACUAGAGUCGUUUUAGCCCAACGUACUAAAUGCUCCGUCUGAAUCGUAGUAGGGUGUUCUAGGUUGGUACAAACUCCCGUGUCACUCUCCUUUAGAACUAGGUGACUUACUUAUAAGACUGGUUGUAUAUACCCUCUGUAACCUGUUUACGGUCGAACCACUGUAUCAAGCAGUUUCGGGUUUCUUCGACCUGAGUUGUCAACAGCUUUUACCCCUUUUGACCUCACAGCCUGUCUCCGUCAACAAAACGGACCCUUCCUAAGAUGACUUCGCUUCGUUACAGGAACAGGAGCUACUCCGUUGACGAAGUCAACUGAGUAGAUGUCUACGUUAAUAGGUCGUUUGUGAGGCACUCCUCAAACCCCUGACGUGCCACGACUGUCAUCGUGUAUCUUAAGUGUGUCAAUAGCUGUCACUAGAAUAAGAGCAGAAGUCGCUUCCUUCUUAAUAUCUUAUGCUGUGCGGCAGCUCUAAUGACCUCCUGCUCUUGAGACUUAAGAGGUCCGAGUAGUUCCUCAUGAGUGCCUCUAGGUUCCCCAAGAUUUCGUGGUGUUUGUUAACUUGCCGCCGCUUUAGCCGUACUUGGGUUGAUCCGCGUGUCGUCUCGGGCCGUCUUUCUGGCGAGUGUGUGUGGUGUGCCGGAAAGAGGUCUGCUGUUCGUGAGUGCUUUGGGUGGGUCUGUUUCUGCUAUAUCCUACAUGUUACCUGCCCUGAUCGAUCUAAUAAGUCCGCUAAACCUUUUUAAUAGUUUCGGUACAUUACAUUAUGUCAUGUCAUCGUGAUACAUUUUACGAGAGACUACACUACAGUCUUUCUAGC
rnacentral:rRNA from 1 species